AAACAAGCAUCUUUGUUCACCCUUUCCCUAGGUCUCUCUGAUAGUGCUGGUCAAAGGACUUCACUGAUUAAAACUAGCUAGUUGUAUAAGACACACAUGUUGAAUUCUUGAUUUCAUUGUGAUGUCAUCUCCUGGCUAAAUCUGCAAAAGGCUGGAAUCCUCUGGUCUCAGAAACUGAAAGUCCACUAACAAAUUGGAAAACAUGGUUAUCCGUCUACGAAGAAUCACUCCUGGAUAUAUAAGGUUAUUACAGACCCAAGCUGCUGGGAAGAUAGUCAUCCACGCGGCAGACAAUCUGCUGCAACGGGCAGCCUUGAUCCUGGGCAUGUUUGGAAUCAGUGUGUCCAGCUAUAGCACCCUUCAGAUGACUCAGAAGAAAAGAUUCCCUUUGCUGUUUUAACUUGUGUCAGAAUCGGAAUCACACCGAUGGAGGUGAAAAUACCCAUUCACUGCCACCAACAUCCUGAGGAGGAAAACUGUUCCCAGGCAAAGAGGCCACCAGGAGGUCAGUCUCUUCCUCUCUUAUUGUUGCUGAGCUCAUCAGAAAACUCCAUGUUUCCAACUGUCUCCUUUUCCGCC